UUCAGCUUAUGAUGGAUAUUUAAGUGGUUUUAUAAAUAUAGAAUCCCAAGCCAAUUUCAUUUUUAAUAAUAAAAAUCCAAACCCCAAAAGAAGAAUUCUCUAGAACUCCAUUGGAUCUUUAAUAAAGGAGGGAGCUUGAAUCAUGAUUUUUCCAUCAAUUCUCCUUCAAUUUCGUGGAUAGUCAUCAAUUAAGGUUCCAGUCGUUCAACGUCUUUUGGAUGACUUUGAAGAAGACUUGGAAUUCAAAAACAUACAAGUUGGGUAGGUCCUCACUUUCCGAGGGCAAUGCCACUAUGAAGCUAUGAUGUUGUUUAGUUGCAAGACUAUUAUGUAUCAUUGCUUUUCAUUUUGAUACUAAGUAUUGUAUGAUAUAUAUGUAGUAUUAUUGUAUUGAUGUAUGGGUGUAAUGACCCGAAAUAAACCUUAGAAAUGAAGGUACUCUUAGAUCGCCACG